UUCUCAUAUACAAAUACAUAAACACAAGAAGAAGAGGAGGAGAUGUUAAUGCGACAAGGGAAGGGAUUUGGAAAAUCAGGGCCUUUUUAUCCAGCUUACAAUUAGCAAUCCUACUGAUUGUGUGUAUCAUCUUUUCCAUCUACAUACACAAAUACAAAGGCACAGCAGGUAAGAAGCCAUGAAAGAUUGUAUUUAUUUCACUGCAUCAAAUAUGUAUUGGUGCUAUAUGAUCAUAAAUAUAUUUAAUCAGUCUUUGCCUCUAACUUACAUUACAUGUACAUUUCUUUAGUUAUGGUGUAUCACUGUAAAUUAACGCGUGUAGGUUCCAGC